rnacentral:lncRNA from 1 species
AUGGGUGGGUCAUUUUCAAAAUUCGAUAUUGGUUCGUUUGGCAAUUGACCUAGUUCUCUCCUCAUGGUACAUUCAGUUAAUUGAUCUAUUUGUGCUUCUAGCCUAGCGAGAGAUUGCUGUUGGGUCAUAAUCAUUUGUUGAAGUUGGUUCAAUCUAUCAUUAGCUAGAUUGGUCUAUUGAGGAGGUGGGUAUAAUGGUUGAUUGUAAUAGGAUAGCUGGAUAGGCUAACUAGGCUGACCACUAUUGUAGGCAUAAUUUUGGUAUUG